rnacentral:tRNA from 1 species
AAGAUACUAGUAUAAUGUUAACACACUGCCUUGUCAAGGCAGAAUUGUAGGUUAGACCCCUGCGUAUCUUG